GACGAACGCUGGCGGCGUGCCUAACACAUGCAAGUCGAGCGAGAAACUUCGGUUUCUAGCGGCGGACGGGUGAGUAACACGUGGGUAACCUGCCUCAUAGAGGGGGAUAGCCUCCCGAAAGGGAGAUUAAUACCGCAUAAGAAGUAGCUUUCGCAUGAAAGCAGCUUUAAAGGAGAAAUCCACUAUGAGAUGGACCCGCGGCGCAUUAGCUAGUUGGUGAGGUAACGGCUCACCAAGGCGACGAUGCGUAGCCGGCCUGAGAGGGCGAACGGCCACAUUGGAACUGAGAGACGGUCCAGACUCCUACGGGAGGCAG
rnacentral:rRNA from 1 species